UACGUAGGGUGCAAGCGUUGUCCGGAAUUAUUGGGCGUAAAGAGCUCGUAGGCGGUCUGUCGCGUCGGAUGUGAAAAUCCAGGGCUCAACCCUGGACCUGCAUUCGAUACGGGCAGACUAGAGUUCGGCAGGGGAGACUGGAAUUCCUGGUGUAGCGGUGAAAUGCGCAGAUAUCAGGAGGAACACCGGUGGCGAAGGCGGGUCUCUGGGCAGUAACUGACGCUGAGAAGCGAAAGCGUGGGGAGCGAACAGG
rnacentral:rRNA from 1 species